rnacentral:rRNA from 1 species
UACGUAGGUGACAAGCGUUAUCCGGAAUUACUGGGCGUAAAGCGCACGCAGGCGGCGCUUUAAGUCUGACGUGAAAUCUCCUGGCUUAACUGGGAGGGGUCGUUGGAGACUGAUGUGCUUGAGGCGAUGAGAGGGGUGUAGAAUUCCCGGUGUAGUGGUGGAAUGCGUAGAUAUCGGGAGGAAUACCAGUGGCGAAAGCGACACCCUGGCAUUAGACUGACGCUCAUGUACGAAGGCGUGGGGAGCGAACGGG